CCCGGGACAAAGUCACACAAGCCAGGACCAGGUUAUGGGAUUAAGGCGGAGGAACUAAGAGGAGGCAUUACGGCAUUAAGAGCGGGCCCUGGAGUCAGCAGGGAGGCGGAGAGACAUGGGUCAGCCCAGAGUAUUCCAGCAACAGGGAUCCGCAGUAAAAUUAAACCAGAUGACCAGCUCAGCUGCAGCUGGGGCGCAGCCCCAGGCUCUUGGCUAGGAGCCGCUGUGGCUGGCUUUGGAGGAGUCACAGUGGAAGGCACCGGCGCACCCGUGGGGCAAGGCUUCAGAGUGUCUGGCCGUGGCUUCCAGAGCUGCUGUGAGUCCUGACCCCCGGCUCCCAGCGGGCUGGGCUUGCACAGCUGCGGCGCCUUUCUCCGCGGCUCGGCUUUGGGACACGGCCUGCGGACACAGGCAGGAGCUGAGGAGGCUGGAGGCGCCCUGGGAGAGCCAUGUGGGAGUGGCGGAUACCCCCGGCUGGGCAGCGCGCUGGGAGAGCGCUCCCCUGGCAGGGGCGGCGAGCACCGCGCUGGUCCGCAGCCGUGGAGGGAGGGAAUGGCAGGACGAGGUGGGCGCUCGGGCGGGGAAGAGCCCUGGCUGCACCUCAGUGGAGCCGGGCGAAGGCGGGGCCCUGCAAGGCCAGGCCUUGAGGGCUGCCCAAGCCCUCGACAGCCUUGGUUGGUUAGCCACGGCAGCCUGUGGGAAAUCUUGA
rnacentral:lncRNA from 12 species